CAAGACUCCAUCUCAAGAAAAAAAAAAAAAUUAGCUGGGUGUGGUGGCACAUGCCUGUAGUCCCAGCUACUUGGGAGGCUGAGGUGAAAGGAUCGCUUGGGCCUGGGAAGCGGUGAUUGCAACGCUGCACAUCAGCCUGGGUGACCAAGCGGGACUCUGUCUCAGAACAAAACAAAACAAAAAUACAUAUUCCCAGAUCCUGGAAUGUCCUGGGAAGCUAUAUGUGUGUCAUGCCCUCCCAGCUGCACCUGAACAAUGAGCAUAGCAAACAUCA
rnacentral:lncRNA from 10 species